rnacentral:tRNA from 1 species
GGUGUGGUGGAGCAGUGGUAAAAUCACUGACUGACAAUCAGUCGGUCCGGGUUCAAUUCCCCGUCCCACUA